AGGCUGAGUCCAGUCAGCCACGGAAACACAAUCGCCCUCUUCUUCCGGUCAUUAUUGCCAAAUUACACCACAGAGGGGGAGAGGCUGGAGGAAGGAGUGGCCGGGGGUCCGAACCGCAAUCAAGGCUUGAACAGGCUGAUGUUGGCCGUGCGUGACAUGAUGGCCAACUUCCACUUCAACGACCUGGAGCAGCUGUAAGUCCAUCCAGAUGAGGAUGUGACAUCUGGAGCUGCAGCAGCUGUUCUGCAACCUCGAGACAACACAUUCCAAAAUGAAGAGUCACACUCUAGAAACAGUGAAGCAGAGGAUGCCCUAGGCCUUCGGAACCAUCCCACCUCCAGGCCUGUCUCCUGAGAGGCCGUCGAUGGUCAGCCUCAGCCUCAGAACUGUUGCUCAGACUUUCAACUGAAUCCAUUUCUAAUGGUGAAAAAUAAAACCAGUCCCUCACACC
rnacentral:lncRNA from 1 species